rnacentral:rRNA from 1 species
GACGAACGCUGGCGGCGUGCUUAACACAUGCAAGUCGAGCGGAAAGGCCCUUCGGGGUACGUCGAGCGGCGAACGGGUGAGUAACACGUGAGUAACCUGCCCUCAGCUUCGGGAUAAGCCUGGGAAACUGGGUCUAAUACCGGAUACGACCAUUGGAUGCAUGUCUGGUGGUGGAAAGUUUUUCGGCUGGGGAUGGGCUCGCGGUCUAUCAGCUUGUUGGUGGGGUGAUGGCCUACCAAGGCGACGACGGGUAGCCGGCCUGAGAGGGUGACCGGCCACACUGGGACUGAGACACGGCCCAGACUCCUACGGGAGGCAGCAGUGGGGAAUAUUGCGCAAUGGGCGGAAGCCUGACGCAGCGACGCCGCGUGGGGAUGAAGGCC